AAAACAAUCGUUAUUCGUUACCUCUACUCUAAGCAGAUUUGAAAGUGCCUCAAUCUGGUAUUCGCUUAAAGUGUCCAACCUAAUGACCGAUUUCACAGAAUCUAUAGCCUUUCUUUCGAUAGUUAAAAUAUGCCAUCACAAAUUCGCAUUUUUGCAAUACACCCGCGCUUUCCCUCCCCCCUGCUAAUUUUAUUGUUAUUUCCGGUGAAUAUUAAUGAGUGCCGAGUUUUACAAGUCUCUCUCGUUCUCCGUUUCAAGUUCAAAACUGAUCUCAUAAUAAACUGGAUAUACCUUAUCAAAACCC